ensembl:lncRNA
GAAUAGGUGAAAAAAAGUUUUGAAACUCUGAAAACUGAGGUUCGAAAGGGCGAAACUUAUUACAUUACAUUAUAUUUGCACUCCUAUUGCAGACUAUUUUUUCAGAGCCGAGUUUACAACACCCACUUUGCAGAGAUACGCCUACACAGUUGCGAGCUUGCGACUCACGUGAUUUGUGGCAGCGUUGUCACGCAGCUCUGUUCUGAAACUCUGAAACUCAGACUGAGCGAAAAUGAAGCUUCGCAACCUCGCAACUUAAAAAAAAAAGGCUGGGGGAGGGCCUUCUGCUCUUGGCCAAUGCUUUGCUGUCUGCUGACGUACAGUCCAAUCACAAGUCGUAUUUACUGGAAAGGUGGGAUUGACCGACUGCUCCGCCAAUGACGAAAGCGCACAGGAUACGCAAACAGAGGAUGCACGGAUCUCUGGCCAGGCGGUCCCGUCUAGAGCUGCAAGAACCGCGUCCAUGGCUGGGAGAGAGGAGGAAUAUACUGCAAUAGCUGAUGCUGCACAGUCGCUAAUAUCAUUGAUUUCGAGAAGACAGCAACAACCCGAAGGCAGUGGUCAAGGAGGAAGAGGGCAACCACCUCGAAGGUUGCAGUCAGAUGGACACAACACCCCAAGUACAUCAGUUGGAACAAGUCAGCUACCGACGAUCCAAAAAUGAAAUGCAGAGGUAGGUGCCGCCACACUAUAUUGCAAUUCUUCAUAUACAUAUUACUCUUUUUUUUGUGACUGAUUACUAUGCUGACUUUGGUCUUGCAGUGUAUAACGUUACAAUACACUUGUUUCAUAUACCAGAACACAGAACAUGAAAAAAAAAAAUACAAAGAUAGAAAAUUAGAUAACUGGUACAGACACAUGCUGGUUUCAUUGAACAACAAUCUUUUAAUUGCUGUCACAAAAUAACUUUUGAUUUUUUGUUUUUAUAUAUAUUUUUUGUCCCAUGGAACAUAUGGAUAUGUUUAUUGCCCACUAGCAUCAAUGGCUGUACAGACUAGGUUUUCUAAAAUCCAUCAUGAUUGUGCUGCAAUAGUGUAAUUUUCUCUUCACUUGUUGUUUUCACUAAUUGUGUUUUAUCACUGACAUGCACAAAGAAGAAUAUAAACCUGAUAAGAUAAAACACUGCAUGAAAUGCUGUUGUUACUGAAAAAUCUUUAAAUACUUUGACUCAGACUUUCACUUCAGUGGGUAAUGAUAUAUUUGAAGGAUACAUUGAUUUGCUAAAUGCAGUGUACAACUUGUGUUUGCAGUGUUUUUCCUUUUUUUGUUUCAGGUCAUUUC